rnacentral:rRNA from 1 species
GACGAACGCUGGCGGCGUGCUUAACACAUGCAAGUCGAACGGAAAGGCCCUGCUUUUGUGGGGUGCUCGAGUGGCGAACGGGUGAGUAACACGUGAGUAACCUGCCCUUGACUUUGGGAUAACUUCAGGAAACUGGGGCUAAUACCGGAUAGGAGCUCCUGCUGCAUGGUGGGGGUUGGAAAGUUUCGGCGGUUGGGGAUGGACUCGCGGCUUAUCAGCUUGUUGGUGGGGUAGUGGCUUACCAAGGCUUUGACGGGUAGCCGGCCUGAGAGGGUGACCGGCCACAUUGGGACUGGGAGGCGGCAGAGACGAAUACGGGAGGCAGCAGUGGAGAAUAUUGCACAAUGGGCGGAAGCCUGAUGCAGCAACGCCGCGUGCGAGAUGACGGCCUUCGGGAUGAAAACCGCUUUCGCCUGUGACGAAGCGUGAGUGGCGGUAAUGGGUAAAGAAGCACCGGCUAACUACG